ACCUCCACUCUCAAAACAAAAAGUUACAAAAAAAAUAAAAUAAAAUUCUAGAGAGAGAAAGAAAGAGAGAAGUUGAUCACCGCUCUAUGACUGCUGACGGCCCAAACCCUAAUUCAGUAUCUGUGAUCAUCAUUGAAAAUCUAAAUCUUUAUAGUUUUCUCUUUUAUCAGUAGUUUUAUACGUAUUGGUGUUGAUUAAAUAGUAUCUAUAAAUAUAUAUUUUUUAAAUUUAUAUUUGAUUUCACAGAGUGAUUGUUUUUGAGAUAGUGUGUAAUUUUUUUUCUUUGCGGUGCACUAAUUUGGAAUGGUCAUGAUGGCCGAUUCUCUAAACAAUGACCACUCGCCACGUUCACCUGUAACGGAUGCUGCCAUCGCUGCCGCCUCUACCGCAGGUGGCGGCGUUAACAGUCCCCAGUCACGGCGGAGGGGACUGGUCUCGCCUUGGGCCUCAGUCGUUCGUGGAGAUUCCGACUCUGUCUCUUCACCCACCGCCGCGGCGUCUCGCUCCUCAACAUCUCCGCCGCCGAUUGCUGUGGCUGCGCCGGAGCAGCUUUCUGCUUCUGAAAAAUCUCCGAUGGAGAGUUCGGGCCUGGAUGCCCAGCCUGAGAGCUCCGAUGUUAACAGUGAUGGCAAUGCAGGCCGUCCGAGGAGGCAUGCUUGGAAUACACCUGUAAACGGCGUCGUUGAGCCUGUUUCUGUUAUGGGUGAUGCUGUUUCUUGGCCCGCUCUCUCUGAAACAACCCGGGCCGUCCCUAGAUCAUCAUCGGAACCCUCCAGACCUGUUCCCGAUGGAUCAUCCUCUUCUUCUCAGGUUAAAAUAUAUAUUAAUGAAAAUUUGUCCACUUUUACUUUUUAUGUUUAUGGCUUGGGAUGUUAUUGUUUUCAAUGAUUUUUUUGCGCUUCAUGAUAUUGAAUACUUUCGUGUUAAUGUCUUUUUUGUAUGUGUCUGCACUGAUGUAAAUGGUAAUUUGGUGAGUAAAUUUUAAGUUUUGCCGUAAAUAUGAAUGUAUGAUUUGGGUUUCUUGCUUUAUAUUUAGAUUGUUGUGUUGAAUGGCCCUGAGAAUUUAUUCCAGGGAGGUUCUAAGACAGUUUAUUUGGACUUAGAAUUAUAAUAGUAAUAAUUAAAAAGUACAAUUCUUUAGUUCCGCCAAUUCAUCCCAGUCGUUAAAGAUUCAAAAAGAUUAAUUAUCUUUCCAUAGACCAAUUGAUCAUUGUUUCUUUUAUCUUUCAAUUGGGGCUUAUGUAAAGAUCAACAGAGCUCUAAUUCUUUGCUAUUGACAAUGUUUAUACUGAUUGAAAGGCAUUCAUAAGAGUUCUUCUGUGGAGGCAUUCAUGUGAUGUCUUUGCUAAUAUUUCUUUUCUUUUGAUAGGGGCCUAUAAUAUCUCAACCACCUCAGAGACAAGCUAAUACCAAUGCUCAUGUUAAUUCUACUGCAAACAAUAUCCCUACUAGACAAAGGUUGAGGCAUCGAGGUGGAGGUGCGGGUGGAGGCAGCUCUGCAGGAAGUGGGCCUUCUUCUACUGCCUUUAGUCGGCAGCCUCCCCCUCCACCACCUCCAUUUCCUGUGUUUGACAUGCAGCCUUAUGCUAAUAUGGUACCACCUAUGCUGGACACUCCUGUGAGAGGAACGAGACCAGGAGGAGGAGUUGGGGGUUCCCAGCCACACACCAGCAAUGAUCAUUCUUCUCCAAGGAAUAAUUCAAGAAGGGGUAACUAUGGGACUCGCCCUCGUGGAGAUGGGCCAUAUCAUAACCCUCCACCACCUCCAUUUCCUGUGUUUGACAUGCAGCCUUAUGCUAAUAUGGUACCACCUAUGCUGGACACUCCUGUGAGAGUAACGAGACCAGGAGGAGGAGUUGGGGGUUCCCAGCCACACACCAGCAAUGAUCAUUCUUCUCCAAGGAAUAAUUCAAGAAGGGGUAACUAUGGGACUCGCCCUCGUGGAGAUGGGCCGUAUCAUAAUAAUCAUGGAGGCAGGAGGGAUCAAGAUCGCAGAGAUGUUCAUCUUUCCCAUCAAUAUGUUCCUCCCAUGGGAUAUAUGCCAUCCCCAUUAGCCCCUGGCCCCACACCGUUCAUGGCGCCACCCGUAAGAGUUUUUCCUGGCCAAAUGGGGUUUGGUAAGUCUACUAUGCAUGCUGUCCUUUGAUAAUUUGACGAUAUGAACUUGUUUUGUUGCU
rnacentral:lncRNA from 1 species